AUGAGGACUCUAUGCUGGAACUGCUGCGGGAUUGGCGACCCCGUGACAGUCCGUGAGCUCUGCGAUCUCGUGGAGGCAUGUGCGCUGAUGGUGCUUUGUAUUGUUGAAACAUAAAUUGUGAAGUACCGGGUGGAAGGAUUAGCUAGUAGCUUAGGUUUUAAUAGUAGUUUUGGUGUUGCUAGUAGUGGGCAUAGUGGAGGCUUAUGCUUGUAU
rnacentral:rRNA from 1 species